rnacentral:rRNA from 1 species
CCUACGGGGUGCAGCAGUGGGGAAUAUUGCACAAUGGGCGCAAGCCUGAUGCAGCCAUGCCGCGUGAAGGAAGAAGGCUUUCGGGUUGUAAACUUCUUUUGUCAGGGAAGAGUAGAAGACGGUACCUGACGAAUAAGCCACGGCUAACUACGUGCCAGCAGCCGCGGUAAUACGUAGGUGGCAAGCGUUGUCCGGUUUUACUGGGUGUAAAGGGCGUGUAGCCGGGUUGACAAGUCAGAUGUGAAAUCCUGCGGCUUAACCGCAGAACUGCAUUUGAAACUGUUGAUCUUGAGUACUGGAGAGGCAGACGGAAUUCCUAGUGUAGCGGUGAAAUGCGUAGAUAUUAGGAGGAACACCAGUGGCGAAGGCGGUCUGCUGGACAGCAACUGACGGUGAGGCGCGAAAGCGUGGGGAGCAAACAGGAUUAGAUACCCGGGUAGUC